GCAAGGGCAGGGAUUGAGCCCACAACCUCAUGGUUUCCAGUCGGAUUCGUUAACCACUGUGCCAUGACAGGAACUCCCCCCCCCCUUUUUUUUUAAUCUAAUCAUAUUUAAUACCCAUGUCUUCAGAGCUUAAUUUUCCUAGAAAAGGUUUUUAAAUGCCCUGUUGCCCUUUAAAAAUAUUCUGUCCAGUGGAUUGAUCAUACUUAUGAUAAAAGUUUGUUGAACUUUUGGCUUCUGUUACAGCUUCAUGUUCACAGCAUUGAUUCUUAUUUGCAUAAGAAGGAGGUUUUACUUACCAUAAGAACAUUUUUAGCCUCUUUGUUUCUUGAGAGACAGUUGGAGUCUCUCCAACUGGUAGUGUCCAGUGUGACUACCGUGGGACUCUGGUCGGGGAACAUAGUGCGGGUGGGUUUUGAAUUCCUGCAGGGUCACUUUGCUUUUCUUCUGACCCAUCACGCCUGCGUGUCUGGCUCUAUUCAGUUGUGUAUAUGGGUCUGUUCUUUCUGUCUGGUCAGCCCCGGCUUGGGAAGUGACUUGUCGACCCUGCCCUGUGAGCCUGCUGGAGAGCUUGGCAGACUCUUCUGGUCCUGCUGUGAAUCCCUCAGGCUUGUGAGGGACAACAGAUGGUCAAACUACACCCAGAGACACCCCUCUACGUAAUGAUGAGAAAUGACCAGGGUCCUGUUUGUGAAGCAGGAGAGUGGCUCAGGGGAGGAGUGGGACCACAACCCUUCGAAGCUCAUGAACUUCGCCACUAAUAAUCACAAAGAAAGCGGUGCAUGACUGUCCUAUUUUCGCUUUGCUUUCUGCUCCUUGUGGAAGUUCGGGCUCUCCUCUCAGGCCAGCCUGAGGAACAGGAAGCAAGCACAAGCCAGAUUUUCUAGAAGACCAUGUGAAGCAAAUGGACCAUGUUUCAUCAUACUCCUUCAAUGCAGCACCACGACUUUCAUCACCAUGUGGCAGUAACUCUGUUUCGUUCAAUUAAAUGUUGUAGGAAUCACUUUAUUUUCUGGAGGAUGGAGCAGUUCCUGUAAGUGUGGUAUGUGUCUCAGUAGUACUAAUGUUUGAAGGAAAUGGCUUUCUGGAAUUUCACCUAGUAAGAGAAUUAGAAUUCAGUCAGUGUGAUAAAUCAUUGAACUUGCUGUUGAAGGGCCUACAUUUCAAUUAAACCUUUAAAAGCAAUAACCUCUUUUCAAUUUUGGUACUACUAGGAGAUAAUGGAGCUCUUAAGUGGAAUGAAUUUGAUUUACAAGUACAGCAAUUCUUUCUUCAAUUGCUGAUGUUUUCCACAGUAUAUGUUUUAUUCUUUCAAAGUUUAAUCAAUAACUAAGGUAGGUGAGAUGUCUCUUUCUCACCUGUUUUCUGUUUAAAACAUUCUCUGGUUUCCAAAUCUGUGGGGCUUUUUGUUUGACCUCAGGAUUGUAGGUGUGUGUAUAAUAGUGCCAGGUGCAUGUUUUAAUGAUACCCUAGCCAGAGAGAUGAUUUUAAUGUAGACUAAGAGUGUCAGGGGAUAAUGUACCGAAUGAUAGAUGCACAUUAUCCCACAUAGUGUUCACAUCACUGAGCUCCUCUCUCCUAGAGUUAACUGCUUUAGCCAUGUGCAACUCAAAGUGCUACAUCUAGAGCUUGAGAGCCAGAGCCCCAGUCACCUCUGAUCCAAGGCCAAGGGUGGGGAUUGCCUUCAAAAACCAACUGGUCGUCCCAAGAGUGCACUUCUGGUGGAUGGGUGUAAAUAGAGACCUCUUGCUGGCUUUAGCCUAGGCAUUGUGUUCAUUUCCUGGAGCUGCUGUGACCAGUGACCAUAGGCUUGAUGGUGCCUUAAAAUAAUUGAAAUUUAUUAUCUCAUUUCUGGAGGCCAGAGGUCUGAAAUCUGUUUCACUGGGCUACAACGAAGACAUUGGCAGAGCUGUACUCCCUCCCCCUGGAAAGCUCUGAGGCAGAAGGCAUUCCUUGCCUUUUCCAGCUUCUGGUGGUCCCAGCCAUUCCUGGGCUUGUGGCUGCAUCACUUUGAUGUCUGUGUCUAUGCCACAUCUCCCUCCCUCUGUCUCCUCGAGGGAGAAACUGCUUUUAGGGUCCACCCAAAUAAUCCAGGAUAAUCUUCCAUAUCAAGAUCCCUAAAUUAUUCACAUCUGAAAAAGCCUUUUUUUUUUUUUGCCGUCUAAGGAACAUUAACCGGCUCUAGAAAUUGGGAUGUAGAUCUCUGGUGGCAGGGGGUGCACUAUUUAGCUCACCGCAGGCAUCCAAGCUGUUCUGGAAGUGACUGUUCUGGAAUGGACUUACUACAAUGCUGAAUUUUUUUCUUUAAUCUGAUUUCUAAGUAGGCAAGAUAGAUCUUUGUGGUAUGACUCUUCACAGUAUGCUAUGACUCUUCUUGCAAAAAAGUGAAGCUUAUUAUUAUUAUUUUUUUUUAAUGAAAGGCAACUCCUGUACCUUGAUAGAGAAAACAAAGGCACAUUUAACACUUUGGGCUCAUUUUUCCUAUUUUACUUUUAAUUUCUGAUCUAGGUGUUCUAUAUUCUUUUGGGUAUGAAGAUGAAAAUGAUGACAUUGUAAAUAGUUCUUUUAUAAGAGCUCCCCUGAGAAGCAAAUACAUUUACACUACCAUUUAAAAUGAUAGCUAACAUUUAUUUUCUGAUUAGAAAAGGAUAGCUCAUUUUAGGAGAUGUAUAAAACCCAGAACAGCAUGAAGAAGAAAAAAACUUAAGUAAUUUAACAACCUAGAAAUGACAUCUAUUGGUAUUUCGGCUUCUUUUAUCAUAUUACAUUAGUUCUCUCCCUAGAGUGUUUAGCAGUUGUUAAACCAUUUGUCCACAUUGGGUUGAAACACCGUCGUUAUUGUUAUCGGGAAAUAGGAUUUUCAGAAAUGCUGGAAAACUGAAGAAACAGUGCUGUUCGGCUUAGACUCUGCUUUCUUCCUACAGUUGAAGGGUUGGGUUUGCUGACACAGAUUGAUUCAGAUUCAAAGAGAGCUGGGUGUUUGCAAGCAUAUCCUUAAAUGGAAGGCCGUCAGUUGUUAGGGUAAGUUCUUCCUGAAUGAAUGCAUCUUUAAGCCACUUUCUAGUGUGUUUUAGCAGAACACAGUCCCAAGAGAUACUCUGAGGGGAGAACAAAAGUUGUUCAGGAGCAAUUAAUUUUUGGAAACUGCACACACACGUGUUUUAAUAGUCACGUCAUCUUAACAUUUAAAAAACCAGAGACCUUCUAAAAUAAAAGAAGCUGUUUAACCUACUAGAGUUUCCCUCCAGCCAAUUGAUUUUUUUUCCUAACACCUAUUAUAAAGAACUAUGUGGAGCACAAUUUGUGAUAAAACACAGUGUUAUUGAACUUAAAUAAGGUAUAGCCAAGUGUUUUUGGUGUGACAUGAUUUUGAUUUGUCAAAAAAAUCUGUGUGUGUGUGUAUCUGCAUCUCUGUACUAAUAAUAUUGUCAUCCUUGUCAAAAUCAGAGUUUUUAAAAGGUGGCUUAUUUGAUUCUAGUAUUACAAGACCUUUUUUUUUUAAAAAAAACCUAAAGAUAUCUUACAUUAUAAUACAUUAAAUGGCUUUUCACAACCCUUUGGGGAUUAGGAAUUAAAAUCUAGGAAUAGUAUCAAGUAGAGUGAAAGUUCAAGGGAAGAGUGAAAGAGAUUUGUAUGUUUUUUAAAAAAAAGGAGUGUGAAAGCUUCCCAACCUCUCCCACCAAGUGUCAUUUUGGCCUGAAGCUGAUUUAGUUCUCAUCUGAUUAAAUCAGAACCAAAUUCUGCUAUUUCCUAACUGCUGUGAAGUGCAGAUUUUUAAAAUGUGUCAAAAAAGCAAGAAUUUAAUCCUGGUAGGAAACAACUCUCUUAAAAGAGAAUAAUUAGCGUUUCAUUUAUAUCAUCAUUUUACAACUCUUCAACAUAUGAAAUUAUUCAUCAUGUCUUAUAUAACAUGUAAUUAUUAAGUGCCUGGUCAGAACACCAGUAUUAAUUUUGAAAUUCAGGUUUCUAAAUUUAGAUCUUGAAAACCUGAGAAAUCUUUUUGGUGGUGGUGGGGGAGUUAGAAAACCACACUAACUUUGUUCUAGUGUCCAUAUCUGUCAGAAGAAAAUGGUGAUCUCAGAACCAUAAUUAAACUUUUGAUUUUUAUACUUAUGGGACCAAGAGGGGGUCAUGUAAUGUAAACAAGUAGCUGAUCCAGAAAUUGCUUAUUUGAAUUUAGGAAGCAGCCGCAGAUGAACACUUUUACACAUACUCUCUCUAUACACACAUUCUCCCUCAAGUAUUUAGGGAAUUAAACUGUCGUUUCUCUGGUUGAUUAAAAAUUAAAAACCUAUAAAGGGGUAAUUGUAAUUGAAUACCCUUUGCCACCAGGUGAUGUUACGUCUUCUCACUUACCUUUACCACAGUCCCAUGGAGCAGCGACUCUGAGAGGACCCCAGGACUUCAGCAUCACCUGGCAUAAUGGUUAAUUUUAAUGUCCUGGGUGGGCCUUAUCCAGUCAGUUGAAGACCUUAAGAGAAAAGACUGAGGUCUGUAUAAGAAGGAGAGGUUCUGUUCUAGACUGCCUUCUCACUCAAGACCACAACAUCGACUCCCAAGGGAAUUUCUAGCCUGCUGACCUGCCCUGCUGACUUGACACUUGCUGGGCCCACAGUCAUGUGAUCUAAUUCCUUAAAAUAAAUUUUUGUGCAGUAUGUUUGUGUAUGAGUGUGUGUGUGUGUUCUCACAUACAUGCUUGUGUGAACAUGCACACAAAUACAUACACACAGCACAUACCCUAUUGGUUCUGUUUUUCUGGAGACCAAUAAUACACCUGGGAGUUUGUUACAAAUUCAGAUCCUCAGGUCCCAGUUCAGACCUGCUGAAUCAGAAAUAAAAGGGGUAGGUCUCGGCUCUCUCCCUCAACAAGACAUCCUGCUGAUGCUAUUGACUGCCCCAAGCAUGAGAGCCACUUCAGGUAAAUGGAAACAGCUUCCUUUAGUUGAAGACAUUGAGAUUCAGAAAGGUUAAGUAAUGUGCCCAAAGUUAUCCAAUCUUGGUGUAGUCAAAUUUAUUCUUGAUGCUUUCAAAGGAUAAAAUAAUACUCAUGCAGAGCAAUCUUUAAAUCUGCUUUUGCUAUUUUAGGGCCAUACCUGCAGCAUAUGGAAGUUCCCAGGCUAAGGGUAGAAUUGGAAAGAUAAAUACCCAAAUCUUAAUAGUGCAUCACUUUUUCACUCACCAAAAUUGAUGUCCUUGUUUGGGUGUGGUUCUCUCCUGGGCAAUAGAUCAGAAACUCAAGGUCUGUCCUUUUUGAGGCUUAACUAUUGUCAAUGUUUGACUUCGAAGGUUGCUGUGCAAUGGGGGGAGCAUGGAGGUUUCUAAGGGCAGGCUGAGAAGUGGGUUCAUGAUUUCCAUCCCUGUUCUUUUGUCUAGAAUUCAGUCACAGGGCAGUGCUUAACUGAAAGAGAGGCUGGGGAAUAGGGUCUGACUGUGUGCCUGGGAACCAUCAGAAAUGAGUUUGAUGCUCAUCUGGCAAUCCCUGCCACCUGGACCCUAAUUGCUAUGCUUUUGGGAGGUUGGUGCUUCUGCCUUUCUUGGAUUUAUCUUCUCUCCUGAAACCAGAUCAAGGUGGGUGUGAGAAGGAGAAAUAGAUUUAAUCAUUACUGAUGCCUCUUGACUCUUCCCCAAGUUCUGACUGGCCUCUGGGAACAGUUAGAGCCACAGAAAAAGUAACUCAUUGUACUGGCUUUGCCUACAGCUUCAGCAGGGAUUUUCCACCACCUUUAGGUUUUCAUGUAGUUAUAUCUUAUAGGUCAGUCUGUCAGCAAUACCUGUACUAUCAUUAUCUUUUUUUGCUUUUCAUUUGGAUUCUCACCCUCACUCUUUAUCCCUUGGUUUAGACUCAUGCCCUGUUAGUUAAGGGCAUCCUAAUGCUACUACUGUGCCAAGAACGCUGACUCAGGUUCUGUAAACCAUCAUCCUCUAAGAAGCUGAAAUGUGACAUGUGGAGGUUCCCCAAGCUAGGGGUCAAAUCGGAGCUGCAGCUGCCAGCCUAUGCCACAGCCAUGGCAAGUCAGGAUCUGAGCCAUGCCUGUGACCUACACCAAAGCUCACAGCAGUGCUGGAUCCUUAACCCACUGAGCAAGGCUAGGGAUCAAACCCACGUUUUCAUGGAUGCCAGUUGGGUUCACUAACUGCUGAGCCACAGCAGGAACUCCCUAGGGAGAAUUCCUACUGUCUUAGGUAUCUAGUGCUGUGAAACAACUCCAUAAAACUACAAUUUAUUUUUUUUUCCCAAAGUCUUUGAGUUGAUUGGACUUAGCUGGGCAGUUAUUCAGUUCCAUGUGCUGUUGGCUGGGGCUACUCAGAUGGUGCAUUCAUCUGGGAACUCAACUGGAGCUGGUAAAUCUGAGAUGGGCAUCCAUUCUCCAAGGCCCUGUCCAGUUGGCUCUCAUCCUUCAAGAGUUUAUCCUGGACUUCCUUACAGCUCAAUGGCUAGGUUCAGACAAGGUGGAAGCUGUCAGGUCUCUUAGGAUCUUGGAAGUUUCAGAACUUCAUGUCUGUUGCACUUUAUUGGUCAAAGCAAAUCAAAAUCAGCCCACAUUCUAAGAAACAGGAAAUAGGUCUUUUGUGUUUGCGGUUAGGAGGAAUUGUUGGUGGCCAUACUUGGAGAUUAUCACCAUGUCUUGUCACCUGUCCACUUUGCCACCUGUUACCUCAAGGUCGUGCUACCUAUAUUUUGGUAUAUCAUAGUCACCCAUGAAAUCAUUCCUUGAUUCUACCUCCAGUAUAACUUUUCUCCAGAAGAGGGUUCAGGCUGCUGUUGCUGUCACUGUAACGUUGAGCAGGGAAGCCCUAAUUACGGGAAUAUUUGAGGUGUACACAGGAAAUAAUGAACAAGCUAGUUUGGUGAGGAGGGUUUGUGUUAGGAGGGUAGUGAAUUUGAAGAAUUAAGCAGUGACUUGAACUCUAGACCAAAGGGUCAGGGAGCCUUGAACUGGUGGUGGUAAAUUGUAAAACAGUUCAAGGAAAAUCUCACAAUAGUGUAUAAAGAAGAUUGAAGGAUAGUGUCCUUGACCGUGGCCACCAUAUGUAGCAUGAAAUGAGCAAGGCUUGAACCAGAGGGAGAAUAGUAAGGCCCAAAAGAAAUAGUCAUGAAAGACAGAAGUAAUCAACAUGACUCAGAGAGGCGGUGGGGAGGCAGAAAUGAAAAAUGGAAGUCUGGAUGCAAUCAACUCUGCCACAAAUAACAGUUUUAAAAUACUUUUAACGGGGAGGCUUGUGCUGAACAUGAAACUCUAGAAUUAAUCAGAGAUAGGUAGCUGAGAGGCUUUUAUAUUUAAAUCUUAGUUUGGUCUUGUUUGGGGUGGUAGUAAAAAUUCAUAUAUCAGUCAGCUUAGAAUUUACUAUGCUUUGGCAAACAAACAGCUAUAAAAUCUCAGUGGCUUAUGACAACUCAAGACAUUUCUCACGUGUAUUGUGGCUAUUACAAGUCAACUCAAAUCUACACCCCCCCCCUUUUGUUUUUUAGGGCCAUACCUGAGACACGAGGGUUUCCAGGCUAGGGGUUGAAUCAGAGCUACAGUUGCUGGCC